CUAGUUGGUUGAAUGGUAGCUCUAUUGUAAUAGAGAGGAAAGUCUGGGCUCCAUAGGAAAAAGUACCAGGUAACUCCUGGCAGGAGAAAUCCUAGAGAUAGUGCCACAGAGAAUAGACCGCCUAAUCAAGGCAAGGGUGAAACGGUGAGGUAAGAGCUCACCGCCUUUUUAGUAAUAAAAAGGGCAAGGAAAACCUUACUUGGAGCAAGACCAAAUAGGGAUAGCACGAUCUUUGAUCAAACAUCCUAAGUUUGCUAUCCGGGUUGGUUGCUGGAGCUGUUUAGAAAUAAUCAGCCAAGAUAAAUUACCAUUUUAAAUGACAGAACCCAGCUUAUAGACCAACUAGCAAA
rfam:Alpha proteobacterium HIMB114 HIMB114_HIMB114, whole genome shotgun sequence.